CAGCCGCCACGGUAAUACGUAGGUGGCAAGCGUUGUCCGGAAUUAUUGGGCGUAAAGCGCGCGCAGGCGGAUCAGUUAGUCUGUCUUAAAAGUUCGGGGCUUAACCCCGUGAUGGGAUGGAAACUGCUGAUCUAGAGUAUCGGAGAGGAAAGUGGAAUUCCUAGUGUAGCGGUGAAAUGCGUAGAUAUUAGGAAGAACACCAGUGGCGAAGGCGACUUUCUGGACGAAAACUGACGCUGAGGCGCGAAAGCCAGGGGAGCGAACAGGAUUAGAUACCCCUGUAGUCCCUGUCUCUUAUACC
rnacentral:rRNA from 1 species